GUCCGCACGGUAAACGAUGGAUGCUCGCUGUGGGCGACAAACAGUCCGCGGCCAAGCGAAAGCGUUAAGCAUCCCACCUGGGGAGUACGCCGGCAACGGUGAAACUCAAAGGAAUUGACGGGGGCCCGCACAAGCGGAGGAACAUGUGGUUUAAUUCGAUGAUACGCGAGGAACCUUACCCGGGCUUGAAUUGCUAAUGAAUGUAUUGGAGACAAUAUAGCCGCAAGGCAUUAGUGAAGGUGCUGCAUGGUUGUCGU
rnacentral:rRNA from 1 species